AGACCCGAAACCCGGUGAUCUAGCCAUGGGCAGGUUGAAGGUUGGGUAACACUAACUGGAGGACCGAACCGACUAAUGUUGAAAAAUUAGCGGAUGACCUGUGGCUGGGGGUGAAAGGCCAAUCAAACCGGGAGAUAGCUGGUUCUCCCCGAAAGCUAUUUAGGUAGCGCCUCGUGAAUUCAUCUCCGGGGGUAGAGCACUGUUUCGGCUAGGGGGCCAUCCCGGCUUACCAACCCGAUGCAAACUGCGAAUACCGGAGAAUGUUAUCACGGGAGACACACGGCGGGUGCUAACGUCCGUCGUGAAGAGGGAAACAACCCAGACCGCCAGCUAAGGUCCCAAAGUCAUGGUUAAGUGGGAAACGAUGUGGGAAGGCCCAGACAGCCAGGAUGUUGGCUUAGAAGCAGCCAUCAUUUAAAGAAAGCGUAAUAGCUCACUGGUCGAGUCGGCCUGCGCGGAAGAUGUAACGGGGCUAAACCAUGCACCGAAGCUGCGGCAGCGAACGUAUCACCCAAGACAACUUUACGGAGUUGACGAUUGACGGAGCGAAGCGACGUCAAAGCGUUCAUUAAAGUCGAGUUGGCUUAGGGAUACGUUCGUUGGGUAGGGGAGCGUUCUGUAAGCCUGUGAAGGUGUGUCGUGAGGCAUGCUGGAGGUAUCAGAAGUGCGAAUGCUGACAUAAGUAACGAUAAAGCGGGUGAAAAGCCCGCUCGCCGGAAGACCAAGGGUUCCUGUCCAACGUUAAUCGGGGCAGGGUGAGUCGACCCCUAAGGCGAGGCCGAAAGGCGUAGUCGAUGGGAAACGGGUUAAUAUUCCCGUACUUGGUGUUACUGCGAAGGGGGGACGGAGAAGGCUAUGUUGGCCGGGCGACGGUUGUCCCGGUUUAAGCGUGUAGGUGUGUGUUCCAGGUAAAUCCGGUUCACUUUAACACUGAGGCGUGAUGACGAGGCACUACGGUGCUGAAGCAACAAAUGCCCUGCUUCCAGGAAAA
rnacentral:rRNA from 1 species